rnacentral:rRNA from 1 species
GACGAACGCUGGCGGCGUGCUUAACACAUGCAAGUCGAACGGAAAGGCCCUGCUUUUGUGGGGUGCUCGAGUGGCGAACGGGUGAGUAACACGUGAGUAACCUGCCCUUGACUUUGGGAUAACUUCAGGAAACUGGGGCUAAUACCGGAUAGGAGCUCCUGCUGCAUGGUGGGGGUUGGAAAGUUUCGGCGGUUGGGGAUGGACGCGCGGCUUAUCAGCUUGUUGGUUGGGUAGUGGCUUACCAAGGCAUUGACGGGUAGCCGGCCUGAGAGGGUGACCGGCCACAUUGGGACUGAGAUACGGCCCAGACUCCUACGGGAGGCAGCAGUGGGGAAUAUUGCACAAUGGGCGGAAGCCUGAUGCAGCAACGCCGCGUGCGGGAUGACGGCCUUCGGGUUGUAAACCGCUUUCGCCUGUGACGAAGCGUGAGUGACGGUAAUGGGUAAAGAAGCACCGGCUAACUACGUG